CAGGAACUCAAGUCUACACAAAGAAAUAAUGACCAUUAAAGCUAAUGAGAAACAGGCUGUCUGGAAAUGUGUCUCGGAGGAAAAUACGGAGCAGAUCUUUAGAAAAUAAAGCUCUCUAGAUUGAUUGAAAAGAUAACAUUUGGUAACACGUUGUAAGCAAAACAUAAUAUCAAGGUGAAAAGAAGGCAAAUCAGAUAUAAAAUUCACUUGGAUGUGUCAACUUGAACUUUGGACGGAGCAAGUAAAGAUAUUGCGAUUUUGGAAAAAAUGUAAUGAAGUAUGAUGGAAAAUUGUCAGGAAUUUAAAAAUGUUUUCCAUUUGAUUGCUGAAGAACAUGAGUUUUGAAGACAUCGCAUAUGGACUUUUCAAAGACUAUAAAUGCUGAACUGCUUUGUGAAUCUUCAUGAGGAGGGAUACACUGGGGGAUCGUGUUCAGAUAUAUUUGGCCAUGAAACCCUUCAUUGAAUAGCAGCUCUCAGGAGGAGUGAAUCAAGGGAUGCAGUGUGGGAAACUGAUCACAAUGGACAAGUAACCUCAGUGAUGUAAAGGAUGCACAAUGUCUGAACUUAUUCUGCAUGAUCAAUGAUUGUGAGAUCCUUCAGGUCGCCAUCAAAUGGAAUCUCAGGAACAAGAACAAGGCAUGUCAUGCAGAUUUAUCAUUGAUAUCUGACUACAUACUUUCAGAUUUAGAACAUGUUAUUUGGAUUUCUUCAAAUAAAUAUCACAUUCAAAAAUGUGGUAUAUCACAAUUGAUAUAUCAGCAAAUGAAAUACCUCCAAAGAGUAAGUCUCAAAUAAUAAACACGGUGUUGAGAACUCCAUCAAUCACUUUUAAGCUGUGCUGCGACGCCUCGCUCUCCCUGGGACCUCACGAUACCACUCUUGAGGGAAGAUACAAGAAGAGGCCCAGUCUCUCUCUGGAACGUGAAGAACAGGAUGGGAUCUAAGAUGUGCUAAGUAGCUCAAGUGUAACCAUCACCCUAUGCUUGAGUCACCCAUCUGAGAAUUCCCAGGGCAAUGCUCAGCAUCACGGGAAACCAAGAAAUACUCAAAACAUUCUCAAGAUCUGAAAAUGAAACCGAACAGAGUCCGAUUAUAAGUGAGGUGAAAGGAGUAGGAGCAGAGGACCUGGAAGAACCUGUGGCCCGUGAGCCCUCCUGAAGAGUCUGCAAUCAUCACUCCGUUUUCAUCCUGGGAGAGUGGCUUCUCCUGCCUGCUGGUUCAAGGAAUCUGGAGAUUUCCCUUCUUCCUAUAGCAAAGCCAGGCUUAAUAAACAUGUGCUAUUUUCUCUAGAAUCCUUAGGUGUUUGUGGUUAGAAGGUUUCAGGGUAGCCAGAACUGGCAUGUUGCUAGGUACAGAAUCCAUGCAGUUGAAUAUGUCUUAUAAUUAUCUACCAGCUUCUACUAAAAUAUCUCUACUGGGCUAGAACUAUAUAGG
rnacentral:lncRNA from 1 species